rnacentral:rRNA from 1 species
GACGGAGGGUGCGAGCGUUAUUCGGAAUCAUUGGGCGUAAAGAGCGUGUAGGCGGCCGGUUAAGUCAGGUGUGAAAGCCCGGGGCUCAACCCCGGAAGGGCACUUGAUACUGGUCGGCUUGAGUUCGGGAGAGGGAAGCGGAAUUCCUGGUGUAGAGGUGAAAUUCGUAGAUAUCAGGAGGAACACCGGUGGCGAAGGCGGCUUCCUGGACCGAAACUGACGCUGAGACGCGAAAGCGUGGGGAGCAAACAGG